rnacentral:rRNA from 1 species
ACGCACGCUGGCGGCGUGCCUAAUACAUGCAAGUAGAACGCUGAAGGAGGAGCUUGCUUCUCUGGAUGAGUUGCGAACGGGUGAGUAACGCGUAGGUAACCUGCCUGGUAGCGGGGGAUAACUAUUGGAAACGAUAGCUAAUACCGCAUAAUAGUAGAUGUCGCAUGACAUUUGCUUAAAAGGUGCAAUUGCAUCACUACCAGAUGGACCUGCGUUGUAUUAGCUAGUUGGUGAGGUAACGGCUCACCAAGGCAACGAUACAUAGCCGACCUGAGAGGGUGAUCGGCCACACUGGGACUGAGACACGGCCCAGACUCCUACGGGAGGCAGCAGUAGGGAAUCUUCGGCAAUGGACGGAAGUCUGACCGAGCAACGCCGCGUGAGUGAAGAAGGUUUUCGGAUCGUAAAGCUCUGUUGUAAGAGAAGAACGAGUGUGAGAGUGGAAAGUUCACACUGUGACGGUAUCUUACCAGAAAGGGACGGCUAACUACGUG